GGACCCGCACAAGUAGUGGAGCAUGUGGUUUAAUUCGAAGAUACGCGCAGAACCUUACCAACACUUGACAUGUUCGUCGCGACUUUAAGAGAUUAAAGUUUUCGGUUCGGCCGGACGAAACACAGGUGCUGCAUGGCUGUCGUCAGCUCGUGUCGUGAGAUGUUGGUUAAGUCCCGCAACGAGCGCAACCCUCACUUUUAGUUGCCAUCAUUUAGUUGGGCACUCUGAAAGAACUGCCAGUGAUAAGCUGGAGGAAGGUGGGGAUGACGUCAAGUCCUCAUGGCCCUUACGUGUUGGGCUACACACGUGCUACAAUGGUAUUUACAACAGGAAGCAAGACAGGCGACGAUCAAGCA
rnacentral:rRNA from 1 species